UUUUUCAACCCAUGGAUAAACAUGUAGAAACCAGGCACAGACUGUGAGUUAGACUUGACCCGCACUGGCCCUUCUCUUUACUGUUUUUGUCAGUGUUAUAAUGUGGAUACCUUACUAAACGAAGCAGAAGUUUACAUGACUUCACUUGAACGUCGAAUUUCCACCACGCGAGAGUCUGAACAACAAAUCUACCUAGUUUCAUUCAGGUUGGUUCUAUAUCUGUCUGGAGCUCUGA